rnacentral:rRNA from 1 species
CAGUCGCCGCGGUAAUACGGAGGAUCCAAGCGUUAUCCGGAAUCAUUGGGUUUAAAGGGUCCGUAGGCGGUCUUGUAAGUCAGUGGUGAAAGCCCAUCGCUCAACGGUGGAACGGCCAUUGAUACUGCAGGACUUGAAUUAUUGGGAAGUAACUAGAAUAUGUAGUGUAGCGGUGAAAUGCUUAGAGAUUACAUGGAAUACCAAUUGCGAAGGCAGGUUACUACCAAUUGAUUGACGAUGAUGGACGAAAGCGUGGGUAGCGAACAGGAUUAGAUACCCCGGUAGUCCCUGUCUCUUAUAC